AUCUGGCUGGCUCAGUCAGUAGAGCAUGUGACUCUUGAUCUUGGGAUCAUGAGUUCAAACCCCAUACUGGGUG
rnacentral:tRNA from 1 species